CUGGAGCGAGACAGACGCCAGGACACUCUGGAGCGAGACAGACGCCAGGACACUCUGGAGCGAGACUGACGCCCGCCUCUUCCGGCUCGACCCCGCGACCCUGACGCUGGGUACCCCCGACCUUUGACCCCGGUCGGAACGACACCUGGAGAUAUUCGGGCGAAAUUGCGACGUGCCGAGAGACGCCUGCUCUGCCUGCUCUCCUCCGUCUCAGACGCGCUCCUUCACACCUCCGUUCUGCGAGCCGUUUCCCGUCUCUCCGUCUGACUCACAGGCAUGCUGUGCGAUCCUGGGUAAGGCGCAUGGACCUGUGGGCCGCGGUCGACAGUGGGAACUGUGUGAUGAAACAUCAUCUCAGUCAGCUGAACCCCAUCCCACCCCCCCCCCAACCCACCAGGAGACGUUACCCUCAAUUAUGCAUUGCCCUCUGGGCCACUUUCUUUCUGUGUACUGGCGGCCUUUCUGUCGGUGCGAACACUCGCACCAUGGUGCUAACGAGGGGAGCUGGAUCACCGGCACUUCUGGAGGACCAGAGCUUCAGCGCCUGACUGGGAGCUUGAUGGGCAUGAUCUGCACCCCCCCUCAACCCCCUGCCCCCCCCCUCAAGCACCUGGGGCACCAGGCGGGUGGAAUCUGACCAAUCAGGGACAUCAAGGACCAAUCAGGUAGAAAAGAACACCGGCUGUGCUUCCAGGUCCAGAUCUGAGUAUCUAGGCUGUAAAACAGAGCUACUCAAACUCCUGCUCCUGGAGGGCCACAGCUCUGCUGGUCUCCAUCCUUACUGAGCCUUCAACUGAUCAACUAAAGCAGCAGAAUAUGCAGUAAACUCGCCUCACCUGCUUUCUGGGCUCUGAACCAGUUGGUGAUUACCGGGUGAAAACUACACCUGCCUUCCAGGUCCGGAGGGAACCGUCCUAUUGGCCUCCAGGGGUGAGAGAAGGCGUGUCCUAAGAUUCUGAACCAAUGGGAUUUGUGCGUGCACUCUGACGAAACUACGGCAAGGUCAAAAGGGUUGAACCGUUCUUUUCACCCCAACUUGAAUCAAAGCGCUGAGCUGCUCAGGAGCAAACCCACACCCCCCCCCCCCCCAGGCUCCUGGUGCUAGUUUUCACCCUAAUAAUGGCUGAGGAAUGAGCUCCAGAUAUGGAUCGUCUUCAGGAUUUGCUGGUUUAAAAUUACGUUCACGGUUCAGCCUCGGUACGGCUUUCCCUGAGCUAAUCAGUCUAGCGAACACUUCCUGGUUCUGCAUGCAAAUCGUACGCAGGACUGAAGUGGCGGUUUUGGCGGUUUCCCGGGGCUCGUUGGCUUAUGGGGCCGAUGCACCUCGCGGGACGUUAG